UUCUCCUGGAAAACGGGUGGUAAUGCCGGAUGCUCCAGUUGAUCGCAUGGUCUUCUGGGAAAGCUUUCGCGGUAUGGGAUGGGGUCGCGUCCUAUCAGCUUGACGGCGGGGUAACGGCCCACCGUGGCUUCGACGGGUAGCCGGCCUGAGAGGGCGACCGGCCACAUUGGGACUGAGAUACGGCCCAGACUCCUACGGGAGGCAGCAGUGGGGAAUAUUGCACAAUGGGCGCAAGCCUGAUGCAGCGACGCCGCGUGAGGGAUGGAGGCCUUCGGGUUGUAAACCUCUUUUAUCGGGGAGCAAGCGAGAGUGAGUUUACCCGUUGAAUAAGCACCGGCUAACUACGUGCCAGCAGCCGCGGUAAUACGUAGGGUGCAAGCGUUAUCCGGAAUUAUUGGGCGUAAAGGGCUCGUAGGCGGUUCGUCGCGUCCGGUGUGAAAGUCCAUCGCUUAACGGUGGAUCCGCGCCGGGUACGGGCGGGCUUGAGUGCGGUAGGGGAGACUGGAAUUCCCGGUGUAACGGUGGAAUGUGUAGAUAU
rnacentral:rRNA from 1 species